rnacentral:ncRNA from 1 species
AUCCCUGUGAGAAUGCCCUUCCAUUUCCUUCCGAAAUAAAGGAGCAGGCAUUAGGCACAACCUUGGUUAGCCCACAAUGCCUUGUUUAGCCACACCCCCAAGGGAACCCAGCAGUAAUCAACAUUAAGCAAUAAGUGCAAACUUGACUUAGUUACACACCAAGAGAGCCGGUAAAACUCGUGCCAGCCACCGCGGUUAUACGAGAGGCUCAAGUUGACAAACACCGGCAAAAAACGUGGCCUAUAAAGUAUUACACUAAAGCUAAACUUCUUCAAGGCUGUUAUACGCAUUCGAAGAAAAGAGAAUCUUCCACGAAAGUGGCUUUAAAUAAUAUCACCCACGAAAGCUAGGAAACAAACUGGGAUUAGAUACCCCACUAUGCCUAGCCCUAAACACAAGUGAAUGUCCUCACCUUUGCUUGCCAGGGUAUUACGAGCUCCAGCUUAAAAUUCAAGGGACUUGGCGGUGCUUUAGAUCCACCUAGAGGAGCCUGUUCUGUAACCGAUAACCCCCGCUUAACCUCACCCUCUUUUGUCACUCCCGCCUAUAUACCGCCGUCGUCAGCUUACCCCACAAGGGAUCAAUAGUGAGCUUAACUGGCACAGCCCAGAACGCCAGGUCCAGGUGUAGCGUAUGAGAGGGGAAGAAAUGGGCUACAUUCACUGUACCAGUGAAAACGAAUAAUACUUUGAAACAAGUACUUAAAGGAGGAUUUAGCAGUAAGAAAGGAGCAGAGUGCCAUUCUGAAACUGGCCCUGAAGCGCGCACAUACCGCCCGUCACUCUCUCCAGUUGGAUGGUGUCUAAUUUAAGAUAAACACAAAACUUUAAACAAAGGAGAGGAAAGUCGUAACAUGGUAAGUGUACCGGAAGGUGCACUUGGAAAAAU